rnacentral:rRNA from 1 species
AUGUUAGAGGAUCCACUUCCCUCCGGCCGUUCCCGUGCCGGCCUCAUCCACGAGCAGCUCAUUGCCUCCAGCGCGUCGUCCAGUCCCCGUCGCUCUCCCUUGCGCUCCGUCCUAGCUUCGUCCGCGACGCCGGUGACCGAAACCUGUUGCACCCAACGAACAGCACCCGUGACGCCCCUGCCCUCUCCGCCUCCAUGCGCCGGCGCCGGGUCAGCUCCGGGUUGGCGUCAGCUCGACCUGCCGGCUCUGGACCCUGCCUCACGCCGGGUCGCACCAGGCUUCCCGAGCCGCCCGUUCGCCGGCUCUGCCCCGGGCCUCACACGUCGUCUCCACGCCGGCUCCGCGCCUCCGUCCGGUUCCGCGCGCAAUGCCGGCUCUGCCCGCAUCCCGGCCGGCUCCGGUCCCGCUCGUGCCCCGCGGCACCACCACCUUGGCUGCCUCCAGAGGCACGCCGGCCUCCUCCACUCGUCGCCUCGACCCCGACCAGCAGCUCCAACCGCCGGGCCUCCUCCCGCGCUGGCCCGGCCCCGCUCAAGGCUCUCGCGCCUCGACCAUAGUAGCCGGAAACGGGGAACGGUGGGCUGUCCCUCGAUCCGAAUUCAUCGACCCGGAAUCAGAUUCGGGAACGAGGGUCGAUUCGGUAAGAUUAGAUGCGGAUUCGGCGUUUCCACAGUCGGAUCGUCGAUUCAGGUUCGGCGACUCGACAGUCUUGGUUCUUGA